AAGAAGCCCCGGCUAACUACGUGCCAGCAGCCGCGGUAAUACGUAGGGGGCAAGCGUUAUCCGGAUUUACUGGGUGUAAAGGGAGCGUAGACGGAGCAGCAAGUCUGAUGUGAAAGGCAGGGGCUCAACCCCUGGACUGCAUUGGAAACUGUUGAUCUUGAGUACCGGAGAGGUAAGCGGAAUUCCUAGUGUAGCGGUGAAAUGCGUAGAUAUUAGGAGGAACACCAGUGGCGAAGGCGGCUUUCUGGUCGGUNUCUGUCGUUAAGGCUCGUUAGCGUGGGGUGCUCUCAAGAUUAGAUACCCUGGUUGUCCCACCCGUAAACGACCUAAACGGAGGUCGGGUGGCAGAGCCAUAUGGUGCCGCAGCAAACGCAGGAAGAAUUCCACCUGGGGAGUACGUUCGCAAGAAUGAAACUCAAAGGAAUUAACGGGGGCCCGCACAAGCGGUGGAGCCAGUGGUUUAAUUCGAAGCAACGCGAAGAACCUUCCCAAGUCUUGACAUCCCUCUGCCCGGUGAGUAACGUCACCUUUCCUUCGGGACAGAGGAGACAGGUGGUGCAUGGUUGUCGUCAGCUCGUGUCGUGAGAUGUUGGGUUAAGUCCCGCAACGAGCGCAACCCCUAUCCUUAGUAGCCAGCGGUUUGGCCGGGCACUCUGAGGAGACUGCCAGGGAUAACCUGGAGGAAGGCGGGGAGGACGUCAAAUCAUCAUGCCCCUUAUGAUUUGGGCUACACACGUGCUACAAUGGCGUAAACAAAGGGAAGCGAGAGUGUGAGCUUAAGCAAAUCCCAAAAAUAACGUCCCAGUUCGGACUGCAGUCUGCAACUCGACUGCGCGAAGCUGGAAUCGCUAGUAAUCGCGGAUCAGAAUGCCGCGGUGAAUACGUUCCCGGGUCUUGCACA
rnacentral:rRNA from 1 species